CCCCCAUAAUAUGGCACGAUCUGUCACGCCCGAUUUGCCACAUUUGGGCACAUCAUCUCUAUAAAAUUAUCAAUAAAAUUAGUAGAUAAAAAAUUUAAUUUAAGAAUAAAUGAUUAAGUCAUUAAACUCUAAAAAAAAGUUUAGAUAUAUAAUCUGAUAUGUCAGAUCUUCGUAAUGCCGGCAUAUGGUAGUCCAAUCAUCCAUAGUGAUGCUGUC
rnacentral:lncRNA from 1 species